rnacentral:rRNA from 1 species
UUUGAUAACUCCCACAUUACUAUCCGCCCGGGUACUACGAGCACCAGCUUAAAACCCAAAGGACUUGGCGGUGCUUUAGAUCCAUCUAGAGGAGCCUGUUCUAGAACCGAUACCCCUCGUUAAACCUCACCCUCUCUUGUUUUUUCCGUCUAUAUACCGCCGUCGUCAGCUUACCCUGUGAAGGACUUACAGUAAGCAGAAUCACCAUAGCUCAAAACGCCAGGUCGAGGUGUAGCAUAUGAGAGGGGAAGAAAUGGGCUACAUUCUCUAUUACAGAGAAAACGAACAAUACAAUGAAAUAUGUGUUAGAAGGAGGAUUUAGCAGUAAGCAGGAAAAUAGAGUG